AAAAAAAUGACUAUAAUUAUAAAAACGUAGCCUUUAAAAAUAUGUAAAGAUGAAUAUGUGAUUUUUGCUAUAUUUAAAAACUUAAUUAUAAAUCAUCCAAAUUAUUUUGUGCGGUCGGUAAGAGUUUUUCUUAUUAUUGCGUGUAACGUGGAUUUUGAGCUGAGGUUUUAGCGGGUGUACAUUCAUUGCGCAUAGACUGGGUUGGGUCGAAUUGACGUGAAGGAGCGGUCGCGCCACCGUGAUAGUGACUUGUAGCAUUCGCCCAAUGCUUAUCUUCUCCGUACGUUUUUAUCUCAAAGCUUAUUAUUACAAUUUAUGUUAUUACAGAGGAUUGGAAUUCCCAUAAGGAUACAGAAGGUGCAAUAGAGGCCUUCUGUUACGUAGAUAUCCGUAACGUUGCGAUAAGAUCGAGGAUUAGAUUUUCAGUGUUUUAAGAUAUGUUAAAAUUUAGGUACAUAGAGAAAAAUAAUUUAAAGUGUUAUUUUGUGGCUAUUAAUUAUGGUAAAUUUUAUGUAAUUAACGAACAUGAUUAAUUUCACCAGGCAAAAAUUCACCAAAGAGGCCCAUAUACAUGGACAAUUUGAGAAGUUGUAAUUAUCUUGAUUAAGG
rnacentral:misc_RNA from 1 species